rnacentral:rRNA from 1 species
CCUACGGGUGGCAGCAGUGAGGAAUAUUGGUCAAUGGACGAGAGUCUGAACCAGCCAAGUAGCGUGAAGGAUGAAUGCCCUAUGGGUUGUAAACUUCUUUUAUAUGGGAAUAAAAUGUUUCACGUGUGGGAUUUUGUAUGUACCAUAUGAAUAAGGAUCGGCUAACUCCGUGCCAGCAGCCGCGGUAAUACGGAGGAUCCGAGCGUUAUCCGGAUUUAUUGGGUUUAAAGGGAGCGUAGGUGGAUUGUUAAGUCAGUUGUGAAAGUUUGCGGCUCAACCGGAAAAUUGCAGUUGAAACUGGCAGUCUUGAGUACAGUAGAGGUGGGCGGAAUUCGAGGUGUAGCGGUGAAAUGCUUAGAGAUCACGAAGAACUCCGAUUGCGAAGGCAGUUCACUGGACUGCAACUGACACUGAGGCUCGAAAGUGUGGGUAUCAAACAGGAUUAGAUACCCUAGUAGUC